rnacentral:rRNA from 1 species
GGAAUUGUUCGCAAUGGGCGCAAGCCUGACGACGCAACGCCGCGUGGAGGAUGAAGAUCUUCGGGUCGUAAACUCCUUUCGAUCGAGACGAAUUCCUCCGGGGUGACUAAUCCCGGAGGUUGACGGUACCGAGCGAAGCAGCACCGGCUAACUCCGUGCCCGCAGCCGCGGUAAUACGGGGGGGGCAAGCGUUGUUCGGAAUUACUGGGCGUAAAGGGCUCGUAGGUGGCCAACUAAGUCGGACGUGAAAUCCCUCGGCUUAACCGGGGAACUGCGUCCGAUACUGGUUGGCUUGAGUUUGGGAGAGGGAUGCGGAAUUCCAGGUGUAGCGGUGAAAUGCGUAGAUAUCUGGAGGAACACCGGUGGCGAAGGCGGCAUCCUGGACCAAUACUGACACUGAGGAGCGAAAGCCAGGGGAGCAAAC